rnacentral:rRNA from 1 species
UACGUAGGGCGCAAGCGUUGUCCGGAAUUAUUGGGCGUAAAGAGCUCGUAGGCGGUUUGUCGCGUCGGCUGUGAAAUCCUGGGGCUUAACUCCGGGCCUGCAGUCGAUACGGGCAGACUUGAGUGUGGUAGGGGAGACUGGAAUUCCUGGUGUAGCGGUGAAAUGCGCAGAUAUCAGGAGGAACACCGGUGGCGAAGGCGGGUCUCUGGGCCGAUACUGACGCUGAGGAGCGAAAGCGUGGGGAGCAAACAGG